ensembl:snRNA U2 U2 spliceosomal RNA
AUCGCUUCUCGGCCUUUUGGCGAAGAUCAAGUGUAGUAUCUGUUCUUAUCAGUUCAAUAACUGAUAUGUCCUCUAUCUGAGGACGAUAUAUUAAAUGGAUUUUUGACCUUGGGAGAUGGACUAGGAGUUUGCUGCAUCUACUGCAUGCAUCGAUCAGUAUUGCAGUACGGCUGGGAACGGUGCAUUUCCC